UUUAUAAUGAUUUUGGUUUGUGAUUUUUUCAGAUAUUGAGUAGAUUAGUCGAAAGCUGAGAAGCAGGAAAAAUUAGAGCUCUUGGAAUCGGCAGUAAAUGUUGCUAAUGACUCUUGGGUUUUGAGGGUUCUGGUGAUGAUGGUGUGGUGGUGCUGAUGAGAAAAAAGAGUAAUCUGUUUUAAUUGAAAGAUCUGAG